rnacentral:rRNA from 1 species
CCUACGGGGGGCAGCAGUGAGGAAUAUUGGUCAAUGGCCGAGAGGCUGAACCAGCCAAGUCGCGUGAGGGAUGACGGCCCUACGGGUUGUAAACCUCUUUUGUCGGGGAGCAAAGAGAGUCACGUGUGGCUCAUUGAGAGUACCCGAAGAAAAAGCAUCGGCUAACUCCGUGCCAGCAGCCGCGGUAUUACGUAGGGUUCGUGCGUUAAUCGGAAUUACUGGGCGUAAGGGGUGUGCAGGCGGCUGAGUAAGUCAGAUGUGAAAUCCCCGUGCUUAAACUGGGAUCCGCUUA